rnacentral:rRNA from 1 species
AUUGAACGCUGGCGGCAGGCCUAACACAUGCAAGUCGAGCGAGCGGCGGACGGGUGAGUAAUGUCUGGGAAACUGCCUGAUGGAGGGGGAGAACUACUGGAAACGGUAGCGAAUACCGCAUACCAUCAGAGGUGCCCAGAUGGGAUUAGCUAGUAGGUGGGGGAACGGCUCACCUAGGCGGCGAUCCCUAGCUGGUCUGAGAGGAUGACCAGCUGCACUGGAGCUGGGACACGGUCCAGACGCCUACGUGCGUCAUCAGUGGAGAAUAUUGCACAAUGGGGGCAAGCCUGAUGCUGCCAUGCCGCGUGUGUGGAGAAGGCCUUCGGGUUGUAAAGCACUUUCAGCGGGGAGGCGUUACCCGCAGAAGAAGCACCGGCUAACUCCGUGCCAGCAGCCGCGGUGAUAC